UACGUAGGGUGCAAGCGUUGUCCGGAAUUAUUGGGCGUAAAGAGCUCGUAGGCGGUCUGUUGCGUCGGCUGUGAAAACCCGAGGCUCAACCUCGGGCCUGCAGCCGAUACGGGCAGACUAGAGUUCGGCAGGGGAGACUGGAAUUCCUGGUGUAGCGGUGAAAUGCGCAGAUAUCAGGAGGAACACCAAUAGCGAAGGCAGCUCGCUGGGACGGUACUGAACGC
rnacentral:rRNA from 1 species